GCUAAGAAUCUUCCACAAUGGGCGAAAGCCUGAUGGAGCGACGCCGCGUGCAGGAUGAAGGCCCUUUGGGUUGUAAACUGCUUUUGCAGGGGAAGAGGGUGAGGCAUCAGGCUUCAUUGACGGUACUCUGUGAAUAAGCCCCGGCUAAUUCCGUGCCAGCAGCCGCGGUAAUACGGAAGGGGCGAGCGUUGUUCGGAAUUAUUGGGCGUAAAGGGAGCGCAGGCGGUGUGUCAAGUGGAACUUCUCAGCGACGGGCUCAACCCGUCGAUCGGUUCCAAACUGAUACACUGGAGUCCGCUAGAGGAUACUGGAAUUCCCGGUGUAGGGGUGAAAUCUAUAGAUAUCGGGAGGAACACCAAUGGCGAAGGCAGGUAUCUGGGGCUGGACUGACGCUGAGGCUCGAAAGCCAGGGGAGCAAACGGGAUUAGAUACCCCAGUAGUCC
rnacentral:rRNA from 1 species